rnacentral:rRNA from 1 species
CUUUACUAUACGCUGACAUUGUAUUGUUAGAUUGUGUGUGCAGGAUAGGUGGGAGACUUUGAGACCCGGGCGCCAGCCUGGGUGGAGUCAUCCUUGAGAUACCACCCUCACGUUCUGACGAUACUCACUCUUUUUGUGAAACGCAUGAGAGGACAGUGUUUGCUGGGUAGUUUAACUGGGGCGGUUGCCUCCUAAAGUGUAACGGAGGCGCGCAAUGGUAGACUAGCGCCGGAUGGAAAUCGGCGUGGUAGUGUAUUCGCACAAGUCUGCCUGACUGUGAGGCUGACAGGCCGAGCAGGGACGAAAGUCGGCGAAAGUGAUCCGGCAACCUGAGCAUUAUUUAUAGUGCUCUUCCCACGUGGGUGG